rnacentral:rRNA from 1 species
UACGAGGGGGGCGAGCGUUGUUCGGAAUUAUUGGGCGUAAAGGGUGCGUAGGCGGUUUGGUAAGUCUUAUGUGAAAUCUAUGGGCUCAACUCAUAGUCUGCAUGAGAAACUGCCGGGCUUGAGUAUGGGAGAGGUGAGUGGAAUUCCUGGUGUAGCGGUGAAAUGCGCAGAUAUCAGGAGGAACACCGGUGGCGAAGGCGGUGGUCUGGGCCGGUACUGACGCUGAGGAGCGAAAGCGUGGGGAGCGAACAGG